rnacentral:ncRNA from 2 species
UUUUUAAUGGAAUAGAGUGUUCAUAUAAUAGCAGAGAUAGGGUCUGUAAGUUUCUACCGGGCUGCCGUAAAUGGCCUGACUAUGAGCGAAAGUGUACCUAGG